AGACCCGAAACCCGGUGAUCUAGCCAUGGGCAGGUUGAAGGUUGGGUAACACUAACUGGAGGACCGAACCGACUAAUGUUGAAAAAUUAGCGGAUGACCUGUGGCUGGGGGUGAAAGGCCAAUCAAACCGGGAGAUAGCUGGUUCUCCCCGAAAGCUAUUUAGGUAGCGCCUCGUGAAUUCAUCUCCGGGGGUAGAGCACUGUUUCGGCUAGGGGGCCAUCCCGGCUUACCAACCCGAUGCAAACUGCGAAUACCGGAGAAUGUUAUCACGGGAGACACACGGCGGGUGCUAACGUCCGUCGUGAAGAGGGAAACAACCCAGACCGCCAGCUAAGGUCCCAAAGUCAUGGUUAAGUGGGAAACGAUGUGGGAAGGCCCAGACAGCCAGGAUGUUGGCUUAGAAGCAGCCAUCAUUUAAAGAAAGCGUAAUAGCUCACUGGUCGAGUCGGCCUGCGCGGAAGAUGUAACGGGGCUAAACCAUGCACCGAAGCUGCGGCAGCGACG
rnacentral:rRNA from 4 species